GCUGGGACUACAGACGCCCGCCACCAACGCCCGGAUAAUUUUUUUUUUUUUUUUUUGUAUUUUUAGUAGAGACGGUGUUUCACCGUGUUAGCCAGGAUGGUCUCGGUCUCCUGACCUCGUGAUCCGCCCGCCUUGGCCUCCCGAAGUGCUGGGAUUACAGGCCUGAGCCACCACGCCUGGCCAGAUCCCUCGCCUUUCCCCUCCCUCGCUGCCCCAUGGGGUAUGGGAGGGCCAGUGGGGCCCGGGGCCAAUGGGGAGAGUCAGGGUAACAUGGGCUCCGGAUGCGGGAGGGGAGAGGGAAGGAGGGCACCUUUCGGUCAAGAUGAAAUCACCAUCCUUGAGCGUCGGCAGUUUCCCCAGGCUGUUGAUCUGCAAGAACUCCUUGCUCUUGUGCUGCCCUGAAGAGGAAGAAGUCAGAAAAGGUCUUCAGAGUAAAAACGCUGCACCUCUACACCCUCCCUCCCCCUGCCCAAGCGGAGCCCCACAGCCCUGAGAAACAGCAAGGUCUGGGACCAGAGGGCUGGAUCAGCCCCAUUCCCUGGAAGGCAAGCUAAGGUUCAGAGAAGGCUGUGACCCCUCCAAGGCCACUCAGUCGACAGCAUUCUCUGGUGGCAGACGCUGCAGGAGGAGGUGAGAGGGCUGUGCGGGCGGCGAGACGCUCAGGGCAGAGCAGGGCGGGGGCCUGGGGGUGCACUGGGUUUGUGGACACGCGGGAAAACCGGCUGGGCCCACCUUUGAUAAGAUCCACGGUGCGCAGCUCUAAGGGGAUGCCAUUCUUCUUGGCGAAGAUGUAGACGGCGCGGCUGGGCUGGGACAGCAGGUCCAGAAACAGCUCUAGGCCCAUGGCGGGGGCGGCAAGGACAGCGGGGAUGGCAGUGAAGGCGCUGAGGGUGGUGUGGGCAGCAGCUGUGGCAGGCUCCCGGAGCGCCGGGAAAUAGGGGAUCAGGCCCCACCCCCUGGGGACAGCACCCAAUUGGAGCGCACCACCCCCGGACCCGCCUCGUCCCUUCGGUUCCUGUCCAGUCCUGGCCGGCCGAGACUCCAACACCAGGUGCGUGCGUCCCUACAGGGAGGGCGGUCGCUAUGAACGCACAGCUGGGAGGGUGGAGUUGGAGCUGGGGCCCUUGACCGGGAAGGAGGACGCGGAUGCAGGGGGCUGACUGCAAGGGGAAGGGGAACCAGCUGGACAGGGAGAAGCAGGUCUGCUUUUCGGGAUCCCGGUGCCAGGGACCCUGCCCAGUUCCAGGCGUCGCCCCGACCCAGAAACGACUGGGACCCGCCGUCCUGGAAAGGCCCCAGCGCACCGACAUCUGAGGGUUCGUUCAGAGCUCUGUUUCUCCGCGAUGCAUGGCGGUGGAAGGGAGGGAACGAAUGGGAUCCCCCAAAAGGGAUCUUAGAGUUUCACCCAGCGGGCUGUGACACUUGCAGGUGUCCCAGACUGGUGGGAACCUUGACUGGAAGGCUGGGGUUAAGGAUGAACUUUCUACCGUCCAGACUGUCCUCUGCAGAGCAGCUGCUGCCAGACAGCGGGAGGUCCCCCUCGGUGCACAGGAUGGUGGCAGGAAGCCCGUAGCCGCAGGGUGCAGGAAUGACUGCGCGGGAAUCUCCUUUUUUCUCCCUGAAUCCCAGCCCUGGCAUCUCACCAGGGGGCACAGUGAUGGUCCCGGGCUGGGCCCGGGACUCUAGCUGAAUCUUUCAGAGUAUCCCAUCCCUCUGGCCAGUGGCCCAAGUGAGUGAACCAGAAUGCUUCCUUGGCAGUUUUGAAACUGGAACUGGAGAGAGGAGCUCCCUAUGGGGAGGUAAAUGGGAGCUGGGGCCACCUGUAGUGACAUUUCCUGAGUUCAAGGAGUAGACGAGUCUGAGACAGAAAAGCUGACUCAGAGAAAGGGAGUGAUAGCAGGGCGUGGUGGCCCACACCUGCAAUCCCAGCUACUCUCAUGGAAUCUGUUUCUCUGAUGUCUGGGUAUGAAAGGACUUUCUAAGCCUCAGAACAGUGGGAGAACUCAACAAAGAAAAAACCAAUACAUAUACAAGGAUAUUUUCUGGAAGAAAAAAUGGAUUAAACUUAAGCAAAAAACUGGGAAGGAUCUUGGUAAAAGAUAUAUCAGAAGGAAGUAAUGUUCUUUAAGAUGUUCUUAGAAACCCAUCGGACAGGUGGGGUGUGGUGGUUCAUGCCUGUAAUCCCUGUACUUUGGGAGGUAGAGGUGGGCGGAUCACUUGAGGUCAGGAGUUUGAGACUAGCCUGGGCAACACGGUGAAACCCCGUCUCUACUAAAAAUACAAAAAUUAGCGGGGUGCGGUGGCACACUCGGGAGGCUGAGACAGGAGAAUCACUUGAACCUUGGAGGCAGAGGUUGCAGUGAGCUGAGAUCAUACCACUGCACUCCAGCCAGGCCACUGAGCGAGACUGUCUCAAAACAAACAAACGAACAAACAAAAAGAAGAGAAACUCAUCCGACGAAGACACAGGAAAAAAAUGAGCAAAGGAAAUCAGCAGAGGUUUCACUGAAGGAGAAAGAGAUAUGGUCAAUACAAGGAUGAAAACAUGUUUAACUUCGGUAAUAAUCAAGCGAGUCAGUGCCACCCGAGAUGUUGGCGGCCACUUUGGCUGAGCUGGACGGAUGCCUGCAGCUGCUCGAGGACAAGUUCCUGCGGGCCAGGCCUUCCUUUCUGGGUCCCGUAUCACUGUGGCUGGGUGGUGGCAAUCACGGAGCUGAUGCAUGAGAGUGCCAUGGGGUGGGGUGGCCCACUGGGCUGUGGUGUAUCUGGGAAGGGAGCUGCCAUCCCAGCUCGUGUUGUCUUUUCUGGCUGUGGGACCCUGUGUGAGUCACUUCUCCUUCUGAGCCUCAGUGUCCUCAUCUAUAAAAUGGGGCUUUACAAACCCCUCACCACAGCUAUGUUAAGAGGCUUCCAAGUGUCCCCAGGGAGGGGGAUAUCCUAGCCCAUCACACGCACGGUGGAGGAGGGAAAAUCCAAUCAGAGAACCCCUAAAGCAGGUCAUGCUGCCUUACACUUGGCUAUGCCCAUCCCCUCUGCUGACUCUGUCUUCCCCUAGCCCAUCAGUGCUGGCUGCUGAGUCUUUGAAAGCAGACCCACGAUGGCAGCAUGGUGCCCAACACGUGGAGGCUGCAGUGGGGGAGGACCUCUUCCAGGAGGCCCUGGCAGCUGUCCUGAAGGCCAAGGACCUGCCUCCAGUAGAACCUGCUGUUAAAGAGAAUCUGAAGACCUUAAUGCAGCUUUUCUUGCUGUGAGUGCCUGUCCCAGACUUGCUGAGCCCCUGAGGGGAUGCUGUGUUGGUAGAAUAAAGACAUGGAACUGUCUGUCUCCU